GACGAACGCUGGCGGCGUGCUUAACACAUGCAAGUCGAACGGAAAGGCUCCAGCUUGCUGGAGUACUCGAGUGGCGAACGGGUGAGUAACACGUGGGUGAUCUGCCCUGCACUUCGGGAUAAGCCUGGGAAACUGGGUCUAAUACCGGAUAGGAGCGCACAUUGGUGUGGGUGGUGGAAAGGCUUUUGUGGUGUGGGAUGAGCUCGUGGUCUAUCAGUUUGUUGGUGGGGUAAUGGCCUACCAAGACGACGACGGGUAGCCGGCCAUAGUGGGUGGACAGGCACAAUGGGACUGAGAUUCGGGCCAGACUCCUACGUGAGGCAGAAGGGGGGAAUAUUGCACGAUGGGGGGAACGCUGAUGCAGCGACGCCGCGUGGGGGAAGAAUGCCUUCGGGUUGUAAACUCCUUUCGCUAGGGACGAAGCUUUUUGUGACGUUACCUAGAGAAGAAGCACCGGCUAACUACGUG
rnacentral:rRNA from 1 species